CUCCAGACUCCUACGGGAGGCAGCAGUGGGGAAUAUUGCACAAUGGGGGAAACCCUGAUGCAGCGACGCCGCGUGAGCGAUGAAGUAUUUCGGUAUGUAAAGCUCUAUCAGCAGGGAAGAAGAUGACGGUACCUGACUAAGAAGCCCCGGCUAACUACGUGCCAGCAGCCGCGGUAAUACGUAGGGGGCAAGCGUUAUCCGGAUUUACUGGGUGUAAAGGGAGCGUAGACGGCGAUGCAAGCCAGAUGUGAAAGCCCGGGGCUCAACCCCGGGACUGCAUUUGGAACUGUGUGGCUGGAGUGUCGGAGAGGCAGGCGGAAUUCCUAGUGUAGCGGUGAAAUGCGUAGAUAUUAGGAGGAACACCAGUGGCGAAGGCGGCCUGCUGGACGAUGACUGACGUUGAGGCUCGAAAGCGUGGGGAGCAAACAGGAUUAGAUACCCGAGUAUC
rnacentral:rRNA from 1 species